AAUAUCCGAACAGAGGAAGACGGUUCGUUGUAGGGUCCACCAAUUAUGUAGAUGUCCGAACCAACUGUUUCGAUGGAACAUAGUUCGGGGAAAGAAUCUGUAGAAGAUGAAGGUACAGGAACAACAGAAAAUUCAUUCGAGUCCCGCUUAAACCUAAUCUUACCUCUCCGUUUGGUUCGGUUUUGAUUAUUAGGUUUCGUCCGAAGACUAAACCAUCUCACACAUGGGUGAUCGGGCAACAUUAACAAGACAUAGAUGCAUGUUUCAUCGGCUCCUAUUUGAGAUCGCGUCUUGUAGAUCUCCA
rnacentral:lncRNA from 1 species